rnacentral:rRNA from 1 species
AUUGAACGCUGGCGGCAGGCUUAACACAUGCAAGUCGAGCGAGCGGCGGACGUGUGAGUCAUGUCUGGGAAACUGCCUGAUGGAUGGGGAUACCUACUGGAAACGGUAGCUAAUACCGCAUACCAUCAGAUGUGUCCAGAUGGGAUUAGCGAGUAGGUGGGGUAAAGGCUCACCAAGGCCACGAUCCCUAGCUGGUCUGAGAGGAUGACCAGCCACACUGGAACUGAGACACGGUCCAGACUCCUACGGGAGGCAGCAGUGGGGAAUAUUGCACAAUGGGCGCAAGACUGAUGCAGCCAUGCCGAGUGUGUGACGAAGGCCUUCGGGUUGUAAAGCACUUUCAGCGGGGAGGCGUUACUCGAAGAAGAAGCACCGGCUAACUCCGUGCCAGCAGCCGCGGUAAUUC